GCUUACGGCCAUACCAGCCUGUACGCCCGAUCUCGUCCGAUCGCGGAAGAUAAAACGCGUUUGGUCUUGGCCAGUACUUGGAUGGGAGACCACAUAGGAACCCCGAGUGCUGACAGCU
rnacentral:rRNA from 16 species